rnacentral:rRNA from 1 species
UACGUAGGGUGCAAGCGUUAAUCGGAAUUACUGGGCGUAAGGCGUGCGCAGGCGGUUUUGUAAGCCAGAUGUGAAAUCCCCGGGCUUAACCUGGGAAUGGCAUUUGGGACUGCAAGGCUGGAGUGUGGCAGAGGAGACUGGAAUUCCUGGUGUAGCAGUGAAAUGCGUAGAUAUCAGGAGGAAUACCGAUGGCGAAGGCAGAUCUCCGGGCUGACACUGACGCUCAUGCACGAAAGCGUGGGGAGCAAACAGG